ACCUAGGGUACUGAGUGGCGGACGGGUGAGUAACGCGUGGGUAACCUGCCUUAGACAGGGGGAUAACAUCAAGAAAUUGGUGCUAAUACCGCAUAUGCUCACAGUAUCGCAUGAUACAGGUGAGGAAAACUCCGGUGGUCUAAGAUGGACCCGCGUCGUGAUUAGCUAGUUGGAGGGGUAACGGCCCACCAAGGGCGACGAUCAGUAGCCGACUUGAGAGAGUGAUCGGCCACAUUGGGACUGAGACACGGCCCAAACUCCUACGGGAGGCAGCAGUAGGGAAUAUUGCACAAUGGGGGAAACCCUGAUGCAGCGACGCCGCGUGAAGGAUGAAGUAUUUCGGUAUGUAAACUUCUAUCAGCAAGGAAGAAAAUGACGGUACUUGACUAAGAAGCCCCGGCUAAGUACGUGCCAGCAGCCGC
rnacentral:rRNA from 1 species